rnacentral:lncRNA from 1 species
UAAGUGGAGCUCACAUGAUCAGUUGCUUUCCAAAUAAUUUCUGAACUUCGCAGCUCCUAAACGUGACAUCCUACUCAAGGUUCAACUCAGCUAGAUAUUUGUUUCAUCACACAUGUAUGUUUAGUUGAGAGAUUGGUUACUGAGAACGCAAGAAGCUUCUAUGUUAAUAAGGGUCAAAUUGAUCAUAUGGAGGCUGAUUUUGCAGCCAACAACUGAUAUAUGUGGGAUUAUUGUGGUCUGCAGCUCUGCAUCAUAUCCAUAGCAAAUGGUAAGAACACAUGUACUGUUCCUGAACUUACAGCAGGCCAAAAAGUCUGAAUCAGUUUGUUUCAAAUGGAACACUAUUAUUAUUUCAUCAAUGUCAAUACAUGUAUAAUAUAACUUGCCGAUAAUAGUACAAAGUAUAAACACGAUCAACCCUGUCUUAUUGCGAGCAAAGUCUGGAAGCAGCAAUUUGUCACAAUAAAAUACAACAAUUCCCAACUAUGGAAAUGGAAUUGAACACGCUCACUCUAUGCAUGCUUCUGCAGCUCCUUUUUGAACACGGCGGAGUGCUGCCCCUCCACGCACUGCAGGACCAGCCUGAUGCCCUGCGUUGGCUUGGGUGGCUUCAGGUAG